rfam:Heterocephalus glaber contig20088, whole genome shotgun sequence.
GGUCUCUGUGUUGGGCGUCUGUCUGCCCGCAUGCCUGCCUCUCUGUUGCUCUGAAGGAGGCAGGGGCUGGGCCUGCAGCUGCCUGGGCAGAGCAG